rnacentral:rRNA from 1 species
GUGCCAGCAGCCGCGGUAAAACGUAGGACGCAAGCGUUAUCCGGAGUUACUGGGCGUAAAGGGCGUGUAGGCGGCGCUGCAAGUUCGUCGUGAAAGACCCCGGCUCAACCGGGGGAGGUCGAGGGAGACUGCGGCGCUGGAGGACGGUAGAGGGACAGGGAAUUCCGGGUGUAGUGGUGAAAUGCGUAGAGAUCCGGAGGAACACCAGUGGCGAAGGCGCUGUCCUGGGCCGCACCUGACGCUGAGACGCGACAGCAUGGGGAGCGAACGGGAUUAGAAACCCUCGUAGUCC